rnacentral:rRNA from 1 species
UACGUAGGGUGCGAGCGUUAAUCGGAAUUACUGGGCGUAAAGCGUGUGCAGGCGGUUCGUUAUGUCUGAUGUGAAAGCCCCGGGCUCAACCUGGGAAUGGCAUUGGAAACUGGCGAGCUGGAGUGUGGCAGAGGGGGGUGGAAUUCCCGGUGUAGUGGUGAUAUGCGUAGAUAUCGGGAGGAACACCUGUGGCGAAGGCGGCUUUCUGGGCCUUACCAGACGCUGAGACGCGAAAGCGUGGGGAGCGAACCGG